UGGGUUGAUGCUGGUUCCUCGGGACAUGUGCACGCCCUGUCGCCAUUCUUAAACCACCUGUGCACCUUCUGUAGACUAGAAACAAGAUGCUCGAGGCAACUCGGUUGUGAGAACUGCUGCGUUCGUUUAGAGCCAGCUGUUCUUGAGUUUCUUAGUCUAUGUCUUUACUAUAACACGCCAUAUUGUAUGUCAUUGAAUGUAUUGUUGGGCACAUCAUAAUGCCUGUAAACUUAAUACAACUUUCAACAACGGAUCUCUUGGCUCUCGCAUCGAUGAAGAACGCAGCGAAAUGCGAUAAGUAAUGUGAAUUGCAGAAUUCAGUGAAUCAUCGAAUCUUUGAACGCACCUUGCGCUCCUUGGUAUUCCGAGGAGCAUGCCUGUUUGAGUGUCAUUAACUACUCAACCUUGCAGGUCUUCAUCCACCUUGCAUGGCUUGGACUUUGGGAUUUCUGCAGGCUUUUAACAAUGGUCUGCUGUCCUUAAAUGCAUUAGCAAAGCUCAUUGCUGGACUUUUGGUGUGAUAACUAUCAUCGCCAUUGGGACAGCAUGUCUAUUGACGCUUGGCUUCUAAUUGUCCUUUGUUGUGACAGUACUUUUGACAAAUCUGACCUCAAAUCAUGUAGACUACCCGCUGAACUUAAGCAUAU
rnacentral:rRNA from 1 species